rnacentral:rRNA from 1 species
GAUCAUGGCUCAGGAUGAACGCUGGCGGCGUGCCUAACACAUGCAAGUCGAGCGAGAAGCUCAUGACGGACGCUUCGGUUGAAGUCACGAGUGGAAAGCGGCGGACGGGUGAGUAACGCGUAGGCAACCUGCCCUUUGCAGAGGGAUAGCCUCGGGAAACCGGGAUUAAAACCUCAUAAUACCGCAGUGAGACAUCUCACGGCGGUCAAAGAUUUAUCGGCAAAGGACGGG